GUAUUGAAAGUGGUUCCUCUUACAUUGUUCCAGGCAGUUUAUCCUGUUUUAGGGUCCCGAUUCUCAUUUCCAGGUGAGUUUAAGUCUCCGGUGAGGAAGAUCAAAGGCCACCUUCCAUGUUUGAGUCCGAGACUAAAAACAACGAUGAUGAUGAUGAUGAUGACGGUUUCCCCACAGAGUCCCCCCCCCCCCUUCUCUCUCUCUCUCUCUCUCUCACACACACACACACACACACACACACACACACACACACACACACACACACACACACACUCUCACACCCGCACACUCACACGCACACCCACACAUGCUCCCGCUGGAUCUCUGACGUAGUUGCCGACGCAGCGUAAAAGAGAACACGCCCGGUUCUGUCCGCUGUGAUGCGUUCAGGAACACCAACGGAAAUUCAAACACUUGAGAAGACACGUAGGAUCUAUGACCAUCUAUUCAUUUUAAAACUUCCAUUUCAAAGCUUACCUAUUUGUUUCUUUUAUCACUUAUUUCAUUGCUUGUAGUAAUGUUUAGGUAUUAUUUUGUUUGUGCAUUUAUUCAUCACAUAGGGAGAACUGUCUUGUGGAAACAGACAUUUCUUUCUCUACAGUUUUGGAUCAAGUUUAUCCACCAUUCCCACAUCUAUCACAAGUUCAGGCUUAUCCCAGAAUGAAUGUCGCAUGUUUCGUCAUACCUCUAGAACAUCCUCCCUCCCUCCCCAAAAUGUUGAUGCCCACAGAUUCCCCAAUUGGUCUCUGGAUCUCUAUACUAUGAUUCUCAAGCAGCAUAUGUUUUAAACAAAUACGCGAGUAUGCAGCAGUUCACAUUGUGCUGCUAAUCAAUUGGUUAAUAUCGUCCCUUUAUCGAUCAAUAAUACCUUCAUUUCUAUUGGGGUCUAUAUCAUUCUCAUGGCGUAAGAAGGAACAAGUAAAGGCCAUUUUAACAGACAGGAUUUUACAUUGUGUAUUGUUAAAUAAUAUAUGUUCCUAACAGACAUAUCAGUUGUGCAAAAAUGAAAAGUACAAUUUACUUGCCUUCAUGACAACCAACACGAUACUAAAUGGUUGACUAAAGUUCUCCAACAAACGUCUUAAUCUGGAUACCACAGACCUCUGCGAACCACACAUCAGCCUCCCAGUUGUUCCACAUCACGACAGUCAAACAUGUACUGUACCUAUAUGAAACAGUAGUCAGGAGUCAACCGGUUAAAGAGAAAUGGGGCAAACACAGGGGCAAGAGCUCAUGCAGGUUUGAUGUGAAUUAUUGCACAAAAAUGAAAUUCCAACAUUUUUAAAAAGAUUUGUGUGUGUGUGUGUGUACAUGUGUGUUUGUGCGUGUGUGUUUGUGUGUGUGCGACCGUCUGAAGUCACCCAUGCGUCAUUGAUUGCAUGCGUGGUUAAGUUUGCGCAUGUAAAGAGAAGAAGAAUCUUUUGCAAAUGGAUUUUCCUCGAGUAUCACUCCACUUUCAUAGCCCCCUGAUCGCUAUGGAGAUGGAUUUUAUUCAAUAUUAGGAGCAGCCUGGUAUUGCUCUGUCACUGAAUGCUGCAGUGAGUGGGAUUUGUGUUUUCUCGUUUCACUCACAUCCAAAAUAGAGGAGUAACACGCACAAGAUUAUUUCGAGUCAUAUUCAAACUUAUCGCCAAUCCUCAUAAAGUGAGGACAAAAACACAUGCUGUCAAGGAUAAUUAUUUAAGACAUUUAGGGGUUCUAAGAAAAUAAAUACCCGUCAUUCCUGCUUCUGGGGAUCUUUGCCAUUACUUCGCACCAAAAAUAUUAAAGUGAUACAUAACCGUGGGAUUCACUGCCCUCUCCACAUGUUUCUAAACAAAAGGAUCACGGCAUCAGAUUUCAUUUUCUACCAAUUAAUCGUUUAAAUAAAUGGGUAUCUUCAGGGGAAACCCAUCCCUCACACGGCAGCAGCCUGACCCAAAGAACAAAUUAAAAAUGAGAUGACAGCGUUCCUUCAAAUGAGAUCAUCAUUCCAUGCGCAGGAAUGACAUCAUCUGUUUGUGAGGUGCAAAGAUCAAUAAGUUAUUAAAUGAAUUAUCAACACAUGGAAAUGAUUGCGAUGGUGACUUUCAGUUUAAAACAUAUGGUUUCCUGUUAAUGAAUACAAUAUUUUUAAUUUAUAGCCACACACACAUUUUUGAGUUUUGAUCUGUUGAUUAGACAAAAUGAUACUCAAUCAUUGCUUUGGUCUUGGAAAAACCAUCAAGAAAGACAGUCAUUUGUUACAACCCCAGGUACAACAGACAGGGAAACAACACACAUAAAUAAUACAUGCACUUAUAUCACAAUAAGCCCAUUCUCAAGAACCGCACGUGUGUGUGUGUAGAAGCAGUGUGUGCAACCCUGAGGUCUUGCACGAGUCAUCAAGCUGUCUUCAGCUAAUUUAAUCUUAUUUGUGUCAAACUGGCACAAAAACUGGCCUGCAAACUUUGCAGAUGCGAUUAACAAGCAUUUGGCACCACCAAAUGCUUGUGAAGUACAAUGCCUGUGGUGGUAAGCGCGGUAAGUUGAGCAUUCUUAUCCACCUGUCUCUGUUUUAAGCGCGCACUGACAGAACACACAUCUGCAAACAUGUGUCAUGUGCACACGGUAUUGACUCUCAGCUUAUCCUCUGCACUGCAAUAACCAUGUCUCCAGAGAACGAUGGAAUGACUCAUAAAACCACAGUCUCGCCUUCGGAUACAAUAUCCGACUUGUUUCUGCACCCACAUGCACAUAUAUUCCACUAUUGUCUCACUUAUUCCAGUGGCAAAUAGGUCAUGUCCUUUCUACUUUAAUGGACAAGUCAACAUUUAGUGGAGCGCACCAUUCAAAUAUGGAAAGAUUUAGAGAGAAAGACUGAAAAAGAGAAACGUGCUGAGGUGUAAUGGCAGGCAUGUGCGUUAUCAGGUUUUAUAAUCCUACACCGAGUGGGCCGUCUAAUCCCGGACGCAGCUGAGGGGUCAAGUAGGGGUUGUCCUCUGGUAGCUGUGUUAGAGCUGCCAUCCCCUCAAUGUAUGUGUGUGUGACUGGCUGCUUAGGAAUCAGUUUUAAUGAAGCACUUUUGGUGUGCGAUUUUGUGUGCAAUUGUAUUAUAUUCUCCCUCCCUGAUGCUUUUGAUCCUCAGAUAGAUCUCUGUUUCUCUGGCAACCGAGUUUAAGAUCUCCAAAAUACCAUAGGGGGGACUUAGUGUCAGUCUGCUGUAUGUUUAAGUUGUUUAAAAUUUUAAGUUUAUCCAGAAAAGAAACUGAAAUUGUUUUCAUUUGAAAGCUCAAAAGGAAGCAAAUUGACGUUUUUAAAUACAGCCAAGAGUACGCUGAGCUGAAGAGGCAAAAAGCUCCUAAAACAUUCAAGCUGAUCCCUGAGGGAAUGUAGUUGAUUAACACAUUGGCUGAUGGACGUGAUUAGCAGAUCUCCUGACUGCCAAACUGCAUCAAGAGUAUAUUAUUGAUAUCCAAAAGUUGGAUUUGAUCGAUAAGGAGCACAAACCAGAUAAUGUCAAUUUGUUAAAGCUGUCUGUAAACCAGUAGAAAUACGAUUUGAUCAUGUUAAAUUAAUGCCAAUUAAUUGUGUUAAUUGUGUUAAUUGUGUUGCAAGCACCAAAUUCAUGUCACGCUUCAUUCACGUCUUUAUCAAUUCAAAUUAAUUUAAAGAACAAAUGUGUCAAUUACACUGUGAACUAUACUCAUUACAGUCUAUUGAUUUGUUAACUGCCCCCCAUCUAACUGACUGUUGGAUGGGGGGCAAAAAGGUAUCAGGGGAUUGACCCAAACCUGGAGAGAUAAGGGGAGGAGAAGAAUGAAUGAAUGGAGGUUUUAAGAACAAAAACAACUAAACCUACUGAAUAGGGAACACGUCAGCUGACAUGGCAGAGCAGAAAAUGGAUGAAAGCAGGGAACGUACCAGGAGCCAUUGCCGCUUGAUUCAUACAAUGCCACUGGCUGACGGGUGUCAACGACGUUCUGUGACACCCACAAUUCCCCAGCUAACCAGCUGUGCCUGUGAUGGUGUUGAUGCUGUCGUUCUUGCUAAAGGGCCCGUUUGAGUCAAGCAAGCGGCAAUAACAGAAAGGCAGUUCUCAUUUUCUCUCCGUCAUACCCGCCUAAUCUCUUCCUUAAUAUCUCUCAGCAUCCUCCCGGCCGAGGAAGAGAGCUUCAGUUUGGCACCGACAGUCAUAUCGCCCAGCGGGGAAGUGUCAUUGAAGUGUACCGAGGAGUUCAGAAAGCUCUGGAUGAGUCCUCACUGAGUCACAGUCUCCUGACUUGAGCCGUCAAAUUCCACAUGUUGUUUUGUUUAUUUUCCACUCACUUGUUUUCUGAGCAAACGCGGUUUGCAAAGGUGGUCUGAAUGUUUAAUCUUCAGCCUGGGGCCUUUUAGCUGCACCUUCAUUACGGCUUCCAAUGGAAUUACGAAGAGACAUUUCAGAUUUCUCAAGGACAAAAUGUUGAUGGUUAACCAAUACUGGGUUUUAUAAGUUUGUGUGUUGAAAUGUGUGAUUUGAUGUAAAAAUACCUGUAACUGCACAUCAGGUCAGGUUUCCCUGACAUUUUCAUUGUACUGCUGUACCUGAGAACACGUUAUUACCAGUAAGCAACUAAUGUGGUAGUUUAUUGGCGGCCUCAAAGCUUUAAAACAUUUAUUCGAGAUGUCAUUUCUGUAAACUCGUGCGUGGGGUCAACAGGAGACCCGACAUGGUGGGAGAUAAGGACAUUAGCAUACUGCAUACAAACACACUAAACACUCAGAUAUUAGCUUGGUCUUCACAGGCCCCAUGUAGUCCUAUGAACUGGAAAAAGGGGUGUAUAUAUAUUCAUUCAAAUCUCUGAAUCCAGGGUCCUUGUGGCAUUAAAGGAUUUAUUUUAUGUAGGGUAAAUUGCAGUCAGUCUAAGGACGUUUAUCUCAAAAGCUUUCAAUAUUUGACUGUGAAUAGUAGUAUAAUUUAUUUCAGCCCUUCCACUUGUCCCCUGGAAUACCAAUAAGCCGGGAGCAGAAUUAAUUUACCGUGUGUGUAAAGCCAGGCUGUACAUUUCCCUCAGCUGUGUCUUUAUGCUUUGUACUUAAAAGACAGAGAAGAUGUGUUUGUCUCACAAACGUAAUAA
ensembl:lncRNA